AAAUAUCUUCAUGUCACAAUUUUCUUUGACAUGGUUGCUCCAAAUGACCCCUACACCUAUUUUUAACCCUAACUAUUAAUGAAUCCUUACCACAGACAGGAGGAUGCCUUUACCUGGUUGGGGAAGAUCCUCAUAAAUGGAGACCAUGUAGAUGCAUGAAUAACAUUCAGAGAAUACUGUCCCCUUUAAAGAUCUGAUGAUAAAGCUUCAAUCAAAAUGCGAAAUCAAGGUUAUGGAGCCAUGAAUGAUCAGCAGGAAUCUACUCCAUUGAAUCCUAAGGGUCCUGGAUUAGCUCCAACAGUUGCCUUUGUUAGACGACAACCAAAGGAUUAUAAAUUUGGGUCUAUUUUAGCUUCAGUCUUCUGUUUCUUUCCAGUUGGUCUCAUUGCAUUGUACUUUUCAUAUCAGGUUGGUAAAUUCUAUAUGAGAGGAGACCUAAGUAGAUCUGUGACAUCAUCAGAAAGAACAAAGUUUUUAAUACAGAUUACUGUUGUGAUAGGGUGUUUGAUAUGGUUUGGUUCUAUUUUUGGACUCUUGUACACUAAAUAUUGAUAUUGUAGGUUUUUCGUUUUCUCAAACAAGUAGAGGACAUCAAAAUCUGUUUUCGUUGUAGGUUUUCCUUUUCUCAAACACUUAGGGGACAUCAAAAUUCUUUUUGGUUACAGGACCAUUCUUGUUAUUUAGAGUUCCACAUCAUUGAAUUAACACCCCUUGUACUAAAAGAUGUACUUUAUAAGUCCAUAUUUUUUUGGGUUUUUUUUUUUAAUAGAUAUUCCACUGUAUUUAACAUAUAUUGUUUAUGUCUUUCAAUUUUUUUAUGACACAUAGUUGAAAAUGUUUUGUUGUUUAACAUCUGACUUGCUAAAUAUGAUAAUAUAUGGAAAUAUUUUUUUCUCAUUUGUUUCAUCUUUAGUUGAUCUUGCCAGAUACUGAUUUCUUUGAUAUGGUUUGUGUUUAACAAAUACAUUUUCACAUUUGUUAGAUAUUAAAAUUGCCUAUUUUUUGCAAUAUUAGCUGCAGGAGAUACAAGGUAGUCAUACCAGUGAAGAGCGGUGCAUAUGUGAGGGUAGGAAUAUCCUUUACCGUCAGGCGUCAUACUGUCAUUUUUGGCUACCGUUAAUGUCAAAUUAGUUAAAUUUUUAUCGUCAUUUGUCAAAAUAUCCUUAUUGUGAUUCAUUAGAGGUCUCAAAUAAUUAUCUGUUACCGUUAUAUUUGGAAAAAAAAUUAACGUGAUUCAUCAAAAUCAGUAAAAAAAUUUAUCGUCAUAUCUAAAAUGUACCUUUAUUGUCAUGCUCCAAAAAUUACCAUUAAUGCAUUUGGCAAGAUUUUUUACCGUUAUUCAACAUGAAGGUACCCCCAUUACAAACCCUUAAAUGUCCCUAUAAAAUUGCUUUUUAUGUCAACAUGUGCUACUUUCUGCAAACAAAUAUAUUUUAAUUAAAACCAUAUUAUCUGCUAUAACAAAUGCUUUUGAUAAUGUAACAUUCAGCAUAUUUAACAGUUUGAACAGCAGACAUUAAAAGAAACACAAUUUGUUUCUUUUUAAUGUACAUGAUUAUUGAUAAAGAAGUACUUCACUAUUCAUUUCUCUUUUCAAAAAAAAAUAAGGAAACAUACCAUAAUAUGCUUUCUUCUUUCAUUUUCUGAAUUGCGAAAUAGGACAGAAGUCAUAUAUACAAUCCCUUCUCCACAGGAAAAUCAAUGAUGUUUAGAUUAGGAAGAAGAAAGCCUUUUUUCAAAAUUAAUUUGAUUUUUCAUUACCUUUAGAAAACUAUCAUAGUUCCAAAUUUAACUCCUAAGAUCUCAGGGACUACUGACAAUCAGAUUUUUUCAUAUUGUACUGUAAUAAAAAUUUAAAAGCAAUCAUUUGUAUAUAUGCUCAUUUAUUGUGAGUUCUACUUGCCUUUGAAUGUGAUUUUUAAUGAAAAGUAAACAUAUUUUAAGUAGCUACAUAUAUAUUUAGAAAUAAAGUAAAAAAAAGUGCAUACAUCAUAUUUGGUGAUAUGAUUUGAUUCCAAUUUUUUUUAUUAACUUUCACAUGGUAUAUAUUGUAUGCUUGAAAAGUUAUGUGUUUUAUUUACAACUUGACAAAAAUUUUUUUUACAAUUGUUGGCUUUUGUUUUUUUAAGGGGUUCAAACAUUUGCAUAAAGAAUUACUUUUUUGAUGGACAAGCAUUUUUUGUCUUGCCUGUGACAUAGCUAUAGGUGUUGCUUUUGCGGGGGCUUUUGUGGCGACGACAGAUGCGCCAAUAAUCUAAGUUUCUGCUUAAGUCAGUUUAAUAGGAACUACUUCUGAUACAUCAAUGAUACUUUGUAUAAAGUUGCAUUACAAUUAAAACAUAUCAGUUUGACAAAUAUUUCGAGGCCCUGCCACCUAGGUCAUGGUCCAGCAACUUUCAAUUAAUUAUCGAUUUUCAAUGUUAAGUUUUCUGCUUAAGUCGAUUUGAUAGGAACUACAUGUGAUAGAUCAAUGAUAUUUUGUCUUUUUCCAAAUUUUCUGCCGAAUAAGUUUUGUCCACCUGAUACACUGGAUCUAUAUAAAUAGGCUGCAACUAGUAAUCCACCAUUCUGCCAUUUACCAGGCACUGUUAAUUAUGUGUUUUGGCAUAUCCUAUGUUUUAUAUGCUACAUAUUUAAAGACAGUAGUUCAUGAAAAGAGAGAGCCAUAUCAUAUUUCAGUAGAUGAUUUGUUCAUUCAAUAUAGUUGCAAAACUAAGGCAGUGUUUGCUUUGAAAACUGCUUUACUUAUAUUAUUAUUAGUUUGGUUAGACUAAUUUUAUAUCUAUUGGUGUACUAAAUACUGUUAACAAGCCAUUUACAGAUUGUAUACAAUAUUUAUAAGCAACAUUAGAUAUGAAUAGAUUUGUUUCAUAUAUAUAUAUUUUGUGUAAAGAAAUAUUUAUAGUUAUUUAUUUUUGUUAAAUUGUGACCAUAUAAAAUAACUUGUUGAUGUUAAAUUUGUGCAGCCAUUGGUAUAAUCUCUUAGCUUGUUACAAGAAAAUCAAUUUGCAUCCUAAACAUGAAUGCUAACCCAUCAUAUAUUUCUUUUACAAUACCUAUUGAAGUUUCUUGAUUUCAUCACUGAUUAUAGUCAAGCAUAACAUGAAAAAACAAGUGAAGAGUUGGCACUGCCAACACUUUUUCCUGAACUGCACAUUUAUAGAGAGAAAAUAAAAAAAUUGUAAUAAAUAUAUUGUCUGCAUACAAUUUUCAAGAAAUCCUUUCUUUAUAUUUAGGAACCAUGACCUUUAACUUUUUGCUAUUGACCCCUAAAUCAAUAGGCACUUUCCCUUCCCUAUGUCUUCCAUGAACACGUUCAAGUUUCUUUUUAUCAGGAGAGGAAAACUCAAGUUACCAUCCAGAAACCAUUUUUAGAAAAUAUUCUAUUUUAAGUAGCAGUAACCUUGAACUUAAACCUGUUAACCAAAACCAAUAGAUUCUUCUUCUUCCCUUUGUUGUCAAUCUGUAUCAAGAUUCUUUCCUAUUAAGCAAGGGAAACUCAAGUUAUGUCUAAAAACAUUAUCCAUUAAUCUAUUAUUAGUAACAGUAACCUCAAACUUUGACCUUUUGACCCCAACAAUCAAUAGACUUCUUCCCCUUCCCUAUGUCUUCUGUCAGUGUAAAUUUGUUACUAUGUGUAAACCGUUUUAAUAAAAAAAAAUCACUUUAAGUAACAGUGAUCUUGAACUUCCCAAAAUGAAAAGACUUCUUGCCCAUACCUUGAUUUGUCUUUAAUCUUUAAUCAUUCCAAUCAAGCAAAGGAAACUGAAGCUACUAUCCAGGAACCAUAAUCUAUUUAUUAAUAGACAGACAAAGCAAUGACUAUAUUCACCUGAAAUUUUUUUGGGUAGCUUUAUUGAUUAAAUAAUAUGUGGGAAAUAGGAAUAUAUGUCAUAGAUUUUAUCAUACAAAUCAAUAUACAGCAUUUUGCUAUAUUUAAUCAUAUUAAGAAUUCACUGGCAAAUAAUAUUGACAUAGAAAAGGUGCCUCAAAAUGAAACUAUUUAAAUAUCAGACCUAUAUUACAUGCAUGAGUGAUUUUUCACUGUCACAUAGUCACAAGUUAAUUAUUUUUUUAUUAUUGAGCUCUUGCAUUAGCUAAUGUUUCUUUUACAUGGACUUUUAAAGUAGAUAUAGAAGGAAAUGCAAGGAAUAUAUGUUUCUCUAGAAAAAUUGUAGUGUUUUAUUUGUAUCUUAUUUUGUUUAUGAUUACUGUAUAGUAAAUAUUUCAAGUAAAUGAUGAUAAAUUGAUGAAAAGAUGUUAACAUU